AUGUUAAUUCCCUGGUGGCCA
rnacentral:siRNA from 1 species